GCGAGGGUAGCCAAGCCUGGUCAAAGGCGACAGACUCAAGAUCUGUUCCUGCAGAGGUUCGCCGGUUCAAAUCCGGCCCUUCGCACCA
rnacentral:tRNA from 1 species